rnacentral:rRNA from 1 species
CGCCCGGAAACCGGGGGGUGAGUAACACGUGAGCAACCUGCCCUGAACUCUGGGAUAAGCGCUGGAAACGGCGUCUAAUACUGGAUAUGAGCUGCGGAGGCAUCUUCGUGGUUGGAAAGAUUUUUCGGUUUGGGAUGGGCUCGCGGCCUAUCAGCUUGUUGGUGAGGUAAUGGCUCACCAAGGCGUCGACGGGUAGCCGGCCUGAGAGGGUGACCGGCCACACUGGGACUGAGACACGGCCCAGACUCCUACGGGAGGCAGCAGUGGGGAAUAUUGCACAAUGGGCGGAAGCCUGAUGCAGCAACGCCGCGUGAGGGAUGACGGCCUUCGGGUUGUAAACCUCUUUUAGCAGGGAAGAAGCGUGAGUGACGGUACCUGCAGAAAAAGCGCCGGCUAACUACGUGCCAGCAGCCGCGGUAAUACGUAGGGCGCAAGCGUUAUCCGGAAUUAUUGGGCGUAAAGAGCUCGUAGGCGGUUUGUCGCGUCUGCUGUGAAAACCCGAGGCUCAACCUCGGGCCUGCAGUGGGUACGGGCAGACUAGAGUGCGGUAGGGGAGAUUGGAAUUCCUGGUGUAGCGGUGGAAUGCGCAGAUAUCAGGAGGAACACCGAUGGCGAAAGGCACAUCUCUGGGGCCGUAAC